rnacentral:rRNA from 1 species
UACAGAGGGUGCGAGCGUUGUCCGGAAUCACUGGGCGUAAAGGGCGCGUAGGCGGCUUGAUAAGCGUGCGGUGAAAGCCCGGGGCUCAACCCCGGGUCGGCCGUGCAAACUGUCGAGCUGGAGCACUGUAGAGGCAGGUGGAAUUCCGGGUGUAGCGGUGGAAUGCGUAGAGAUCCGGAAGAACACCGGUGGCGAAGGCGGCCUGCUGGGCAGUGGCUGACGCUGAGGCGCGACAGCGUGGGGAGCAAACAGG